UUAUCUUCUUUUUUAAAAAAAGAAAAACAUAAUUUUAAAAACAUAAUUUUAUUUUUUUGCUGAUCAGCAAAUAAUUUUUCUUUGAUCAAUUAAUAUUCUAUCAAAUAAAUACAAAAAAAAAAUACAAAGUAAACACGCAGAUCUUAAGAGUUAAGAGAUGCCCUAGAACAUCAAUGGGUCCUUGAUCGGCCUUCAAACCUGCCCUUUUUGAUGGGAGGCGGCAUGGGCCAUCACAAUUGUAAGGCCCAUAAUUGCUAAAUGUCGAACGUAUAAUGAGCUUCAAUUGUUUUGGAGAGACAGGCAAGUAAGCGGACAGAAGGGAUGGGCCAACUGCCUUACCCUUAAAAGUUCUGAUACGGCAGAAAGGCCUAGAGCCCUAGGUGAACACGUUACGACAUUGAUUCCCUCGUCAGGUCUCAACCCAAGCUAAUCCCCUGAGUUCCACCAAGUUUGUCUGAAAAAUUGCCGUUGAUGGUACCAAUCAGCACCAAAAGAUGCCCUUUUUUUAUUGAUCAGUUAUCCGUUAAGUUCAUACAAGCAGGGACCCAUAACUACAAAAAUGCAAGACUCCUUUAACUGCAAGAGCAAUCAACAAUAAUUUACCAACUCAAACCUAUCAGAAACAGAAAAAAAAAAAGAAAAGAAAAGACCACUGGAAGCUUAGCUUGAUCGCAAUUGACAUCACUUUCAAAGCAAGAUUAGUGGAGAAUUCAAUUAAGUUAUGAUUAACAUCAAAAACCCCCUUUUUAUCUUAAUCAAAAUCAUAUUUGACUGUUAUGGUUGUAUUGAUCAGGUUUGGUUAUGGUCUUUUCUCUACUUUAAAGGAUUUAUGGGUGUUGGUGGGGGCGGUAGAGUCUCCCCUUUGUCGCCUAUGUAAUCACCACGUAAUAUCUUAACAAUUGCCAAAUGGCUUAAUAACAGCUGGAUCGGAGCUUCAUAUAUUAAUUUUUCCUUGCAUAUAUAUCAAUCAUACUUUUAAGCAAAGAUGAGAUGAUAUUUUGUCAUACG
rnacentral:lncRNA from 1 species